rnacentral:lncRNA from 1 species
CGGUUACGUAUAGGCAAGAUAUUUUAGAUCUUAGAGAGUUCAUGAUCUCUACUUUCAAGUUACACAAUCACACUUAAUGUUAAAUACUAAAUAUAACACUCUCCUAUGAGUGUGUAAAUACUAAAUACUCAAGUAGUAAGCACAUUUGAUCUUUAGACAAAUGUAGAAGCAAUUGAUGAUGAAGUCGUCUUGAAUCCAAUCACUAAUGCUCUGACACAUAAAAAUUAAGUAGGAAACCCAAUAACUAAGGCAAUAACACAGAAGCAGCCUGAUAGAUACCUAAUAGUUUUGGUGUGCGUUAUUGUGAUGAUUGGCUUUAGUAAAAUAAGAGAUUGUUGGACUUGUGCACUAAACGUCAAUUUUGUAGUAUUAGAUCUAAUGUUAUAUUGGAUCUUUUGUAGUAUUAACUAAUUCAAUUUUAGCAUAAUUUUGAGUGUGCGACCAGAGAAGACCUCUUAGAACACACGUCCACCUUUAUUGUUGCAUCCAUACUAAUAACACAUUAUGUGUUAGUUUUUACCUACAUUACAUUUCAGUGACAAAGGACGUGGUG